rnacentral:rRNA from 1 species
CAAUAGCGUAUAUUUAAGUUGUUGCAGUUAAAAAGCUCGUAGUUGGAUUUCGGAUGGGACUUGCCGGUCCGUCGUUUCGAUGUGCACUGGCCAGUCCUAUCUUGUUGUCGGGGACUAGCUCCUGGGCUUCACUGUCCGGGACUAGGAGCUGACGAGGUUACUUUGAGUAAAUUAGAGUGUUCAAAGCAAGCCUACGCUCUGAAUACAUUAGCAUGGAAUAACACGAUAGGACUCUGGCUUAUCUUGUUGGUCUGUGAGACCAGAGUAAUGAUUAAGAGGGACAGUCGGGGGCAUUCGUAUUUCAUUGUCAGAGGUGAAAUUCUUGGAUCUAUGAAAGACGAACUUCUGCGAAAGCAUUUGUCAAGGAUGUUUUCAUUA